CGACAAGCUAUGAAGGGCGUAUGGUGGAUGCCUUGGCAUCAAGAGCCGAUGAAGGACGUAGGAGCCUGCGAUAAGCCCUGGGGAGUUGGCAACCGAGCUGUGAUCCGGGGGUGUCCGAAUGGGGAAACCUGGCUGGAGUCAUGUCCAGUCACCUGCACCUGAAUGAAAUAGGGUGUUGGAGGGAACGUGGGGAAGUGAAACAUCUCAGUACCCACAGGAAGAGAAAACAAAAGUGAUUCCGAGAGUAGUGGCGAGCGAAAUCGGAGGAGGCUAAACCGCGUGCGUGUGAUACCCGGCAGGGGUUGCGUGCGUGGGGUUGUGGGGUUUGUGCGACCAGUGCUGCCGUGCUGGUGCGGAGUGAGAAACUCAUCGUGAAGUUGAAGUCCGUUGGAAAGCGGUGCCGGAGCGGGUGAUAGCCCCGUAGACGUAAGCGGUGGGCUCUGUUGUGCAGAUACCCGAGUAUCACGGAACUCGUGAAAUUCCGUGUGAAUCUGGCGGGACCACCCGCUAAGCCUAAAUACUCCUUGAUGACCGAUAGCGGACAAGUACCGUGAGGGAAAGGUGAAAAGUACCCCUGGCGGGGAGUGAAAUAGUACCUGAAACCAUGCGCCUACAAUCCGUCAAAGCUUUGGCCCUUGUGGUUGGGGUGAUGGCGUGCCUUUUGAAGAAUGAGCCUGCGAGUUUGUGUUGUGUUGCGAGGUUAACCCGUGUGGGGGAGCCGUAGCGAAAGCGAGUCCUAAUAGGGCGUUGAGUAGCAUGAUCAAGACCCGAAGCGGAGUGAUCUAUCCAUGGGCAGGUUGAAGCGACGGUAAGACGUCGUGGAGGACCGAACCCACCUAGGUUGAAAACUGGGGGGAUGACCUGUGGAUAGGGGUGAAAGGCCAAUCAAACUCCGUGAUAGCUGGUUCUCCCCGAAAUGCAUUUAGGUGCAGCGUUGCGUGUUUCUUGCCGGAGGUAGAGCACUGGAUAGCCGAUGGGCCCGACCAGGUUACUGACGUUAGCCAAACUCCGAAUGCCGGUAAGUGAGAGCGUGGCAGUGAGACUGCGGGGGAUAAGCUCCGUAGUCGAGAGGGAAACAGCCCAGACCAUCAGCUAAGGCCCCUAAGCGGUGACUAAGUGGAAAAGGAUGUGGAGUCGCAGUGACAACCAGGAGGUUGGCUUGGAAGCAGCCACCCUUGAAAGAGUGCGUAAUAGCUCACUGGUCAAGUGAUUCCGCGCCGACAAUGUAGCGGGGCUCAAGUCAUCCGCCGAAGCUAUGGCAUCCACACGAUACCCAAGCCGCCUCCUUGUGGGGUUGGUUCAGGGGUGUGGGUGGGUAGGGGAGCGUCGUGUCGCCGGUGAAGGUUCGGAGUGAUCCAGGGCUGGAGGCGACACGAGUGAGAAUGCAGGCAUGAGUAGCGAAUCACGGGUGAGAAACCCGUGCGCCGAAUGAUCAAGGGUUCCAGGGUCAAGCUCAUCUGCCCUGGGUAAGUCGGGACCUAAGGCGAGGCCGACAGGCGUAGUCGAUGGACAACGGGUUGAUAUUCCCGUACCGGCAAAGUGACGCCCAUGACGAACCCGGUGAUGCUAACCA
rnacentral:rRNA from 1 species